rnacentral:rRNA from 1 species
AGAAUCAACGCUGGCGGCGUGCCUCAGACAUGCAAGUCGAACGCGAAAGUUUCCUUCGGGAGACAAGUAGAGUGGCGCACGGGUGAGUAACACGUAGGUAAUCUACCUUUGGAUGGGGAAUAACAACCGGAAACGGUUGCUAAUACCGCAUAAUGCAGCGGCACCUAAUGGUGACAGUUGUUAAAGCGGGGGAUCGAAAGACCUCGCGUCUGAAGAGGAGCCUGCGGCGGAUUAGCUAGUUGGUAAGGUAAUGGCUUACCAAGGCUACGAUCC